rnacentral:misc_RNA from 1 species
AAACCAAAAGUCUAUCUUACAUAUUUGCAUAAAGAUAGAAACAGAAGGCAAGAUCAUUUACAACUCCUUAGCACAGAGUUUAUGACAUGUAUGAGAAGACGUAUACUGGCAGAUUCUGAAGCAGAUGUAGUCGGUAGAUUCCUCUGAUGCAUCAGUAUCUGAUAGACCUGAUCAAAUAUUGGUCUCACAUGCAGUGCAAUCAAUGGAUCUGCAGGGUUUAUAGCAACAGCCACGUCUGUCAUCCAUGCCAG